rnacentral:rRNA from 1 species
CCCUUAGAUGUUCUGGGCGGCCCGCGCACCACAUUGGCACUGGCAACAAGAUCCUAGAUCUGAUAUUUCGGGGUAUUCUACCAACUGGUGUCGUGACUGGGAUUAACCCCUGCAAUUAUUGGUUAUGAACGAGGAAUUCCUUGUAAUCACGGUUUAUCAACCCGUGUUGAAUGCGUCCCUGCCCUUUGUACACACCGCCCGUCGCUCCUACCGAUGAAUCGUCCGGUGAAGUUCAUGGAGUCGCGGCUGCUCCAGCUGUUUUCGAAGUGAAAUGGACCUCAUGAUUUAGAGGAAGGAGAAGUCGUAACA